rnacentral:rRNA from 1 species
AGAGUUUGAUCCUGGCUCAGAACGAACGUUGGCGGCGUGCUUAACACAUGCAAGUCGAACGAGAAAGUUCCUUCGGGAAUGAGUAAAGUGGCGCACGGGUGAGUAACGCGUAAGUAAUCUACCUUGGCAUUUGGAAUAACUACGGGAAGCUGUAGCUAAUACCGGAUACGUUCUCCUUUUUACGGAUUGGAGAAGAAAGAUGACCUCUUCUUGAAAGUUAUCGUGCUAAGAGGAGCUUGCGUACCAUUAGCUAGUUGGUAGGGUAAUGGCCUACCAAGGCAACGAUGGUUAGCGGGUCUGAGAGGAUGAUCCGCCACACUGGAACUGGAACACGGACCAGACUCCUACGGGAGGCAGCAGUGAGGAAUAUUGCGCAAUGGGGGAAACCCUGACGCAGCGACGCCGCGUGGAUGAUGAAGGCCUUAGGGUCGUAAAAUCCUGUCAGGUGGGAAGAAAUGUACGAGGGAACAAUACCCCUUGUGCUUGACGGUACCACCAAAGGAAGCACCGGCUAACUCAGUGCCAGCAGCCGCGGUAAUACUGAGGGUGCAAACGUUGUUCGGAAUUACUGGGCGUAAAGCGCGCGUAGGCGGUUUGUUAAGUCAGAUGUGAAAGCCCAAGGCUCAACCUUGGACGUGCAUU